AUUCUUACCUGGCAGGGGAGGUUCGAUGAUGAAAGGUGAUUUUCUCAGGGUAAACUUUACAUUGCACUCCAGAUGUGCUGACCCCUAUGAUUUCCACAAAUGUGGGAAACUCAACUGCCUAAUUAUGGCAGUAGUAGACUGUGUUUGGUCUACUU
rnacentral:snRNA from 1 species